UACGAAGGGGGCUAGCGUUGCUCGGAAUUACUGGGCGUAAAGGGCGCGUAGGCGGCGUGUCGCGUCGGGAGUGAAAGACCGGGGCUUAACCCCGGUUCUGCUUCCGGUACGGGCAUGCUGGAGUGUGGCAGGGGAGACUGGAAUUCCUGGUGUAGCGGUGGAAUGCGCAGAUAUCAGGAGGAACACCGGUGGCGAAGGCGGGUCUCUGGGCCAUUACUGACGCUGAGGAGCGAAAGCGUGGGGAGCGAACAGG
rnacentral:rRNA from 1 species